UAGGGAAUCUUCCACAAUGGACGCAAGUCUGAUGGAGCAACGCCGCGUGAGUGAAGAAGGCUUUCGGGUCGUAAAACUCUGUUGUUGGAGAAGAAUGGUCGGCAGAGUAACUGUUGUCGGCGUGACGGUAUCCAACCAGAAAGCCACGGCUAACUACGUGCCAGCAGCCGCGGUAAUACGUAGGUGGCAAGCGUUAUCCGGAUUUAUUGGGCGUAAAGCGAGCGCAGGCGGUUUUUUAAGUCUGAUGUGAAAGCCCUCGGCUUAACCGAGGAAGCGCAUCGGAAACUGGGAAACUUGAGUGCAGAAGAGGACAGUGGAACUCCAUGUGUAGCGGUGAAAUGCGUAGAUAUAUGGAAGAGCACCAGUGGCGAAGGCGGCUGUCUGGUCUGUAACUGACGCUGAGGCUCGAAAGCAUGGGUAGCGAACAGGAUUAGAUACCCUGGUAGUCCAUGCCGUAAACGAUGAAUGCUAGGUGUUGGAG
rnacentral:rRNA from 1 species